GCGUAGGGAGGGCACGCGGGCUCCCCGCCCCCUUCCCCAGAGGGGCGGAACAGGGGCCUUAAGUGACGUUUGUCAUUGUGUUAGAGGUAACUAGGGACCGCGGGGAAGGGGCGGGCUCGAGCUGACGAACUGGAUAUGUCGACGCUGCAGCACUCCACAGACAGAAUUCAAGGCCAGCCUGGUGUGUGUGUAACAAGUUCCAGGCCAGCAAGAGCUACAUGAUGAGACCCUACCCAGUGAUUGUAAGAAUUCCAAAAUUCAGGAUAACAAUGCUGCUGGCCUCGAACUCAGAAAUCGGCC